rnacentral:tRNA from 1 species
GUGGAAGUAGCUCAGUUGGUAGAGCACAGGGUUGUGGUCUCUGUGGUCGCGGGUUCGAUCCCCGUCUUCCACC